UACGGAGGGUGCGAGCGUUGUCCGGAAUCACUGGGCGUAAAGGGCGCGUAGGCGGGCUGCCAAGUCUGGGGUGAAAUCCCACGGCUCAACCGUGGAACUGCCUCGGAUACUGGCGGCCUCGAGGGAGGUAGGGGCGUGCGGAACUGUGGGUGGAGCGGUGAAAUGCGUUGAUAUCCACAGGAACUCCGGUGGCGAAGGCGGCACGCUGGACCUUUUCUGACGCUGAGGCGCGAAAGCCAGGGGAGCAAACGGG
rnacentral:rRNA from 1 species